rnacentral:rRNA from 1 species
ACGGUUAACGGAGCGAAAGCGACGUUCAACCGCAAAACAAGCAGAGGGGGCUUAGUGGUGGGGUGACUGCGUACCUUUUGUAUAAUGGGUCAGCGACUUAUAUUCUGUAGCAAGGUUAACCGAAUAGGGGAGCCGGAGGGAAACCGAGUCUUAAUUGGGCGUUAAGUUGCAGGGUAUAGACCCGAAACCCGGUGAUCUAGCCAUGGGCAGGUUGAAGGUUGGGUAACACUAACUGGAGGACCGAACCGACUAAUGUUGAAAAAUUAGCGGAUGACCUGUGGCUGGGGGUGAAAGGCCAAUCAAACCGGGAGAUAGCUGGUUCUCCCCGAAAGCUAUUUAGGUAGCGCCUCGUGAAUUCAUCUCCGGGGGUAGAGCACUGUUUCGGCUAGGGGGCCAUCCCGGCUUACCAACCCGAUGCAAACUGCGAAUACCGGAGAAUGUUAUCACGGGAGACACACGGCGGGUGCUAACGUCCGUCGUGAAGAGGGAAACAACCCAGACCGCCAGCUAAGGUCCCAAAGUCAUGGUUAAGUGGGAAACGAUGUGGGAAGGCCCAGACAGCCAGGAUGUUGGCUUAGAAGCAGCCAUCAUUUAAAGAAAGCGUAAUAGCUCACUGGUCGAGUCGGCCUGCGCGGAAGAUGUAACGGGGCUAAACCAUGCACCGAAGCUGCGGCAGCGAACGUAUCACCCAAGACAACUUUACGGAGUUGACGAUUGACGGAGCGAAGCGACGUCAAAGCGUUCAUUAAAGUCGAGUUGGCUUAGGGAUACGUUCGUUGGGUAGGGGAGCGUUCUGUAAGCCUGUGAAGGUGUGUCGUGAGGCAUGCUGGAGGUAUCAGAAGUGCGAAUGCUGACAUAAGUAACGAUAAAGCGGGUGAAAAGCCCGCUCGCCGGAAGACCAAGGGUUCCUGUCCAACGUUAAUCGGGGCAGGGUGAGUCGACCCCUAAGGCGAGGCCGAAAGGCGUAGUCGAUGGGAAACGGGUUAAUAUUCCCGUACUUGGUGUUACUGCGAAGGGGGGACGGAGAAGGCUAUGUUGGCCGGGCGACGGUUGUCCCGGUUUAAGCGUGUAGGUGUGUGUUCCAGGUAAAUCCGGUUCACUUUAACACUGAGGCGUGACGACGAGGCACUACGGUGCUGAAGCAACAAAUGCCCUGCUUCCAGGAAAAGCCUCUAAGCAUCAGGUAACACGAAAUCGUACCCCAAACCGACACAGGUGGUCAGGUAGAGAAUACCAAGGCGCUUGAGAGAACUCGGGUGAAGGAACUAGGCAAAAUGGUGCCGUAACUUCGGGAGAAGGCACGCUGACACGUAGGUGAAGUGAUUUACUCAUGGAGCUGAAGUCAGUCGAAGAUACCAGCUGGCUGCAACUGUUUAUUAAAAACACAGCACUGUGCAAACACGAAAGUGGACGUAUACGGUGUGACGCCUGCCCGGUGCCGGAAGGUUAAUUGAUGGGGUCAGCGCAAGCGAAGCUCCUGAUCGAAGCCCCGGUAAACGGCGGCCGUAACUAUAACGGUCCUAAGGUAGCGAAAUUCCUUGUCGGGUAAGUUCCGACCUGCACGAAUGGCGUAAUGAUGGCCAGGCUGUCUCCACCCGAGACUCAGUGAAAUUGAACUCGCUGUGAAGAUGCAGUGUACCCGCGGCAAGACGGAAAGACCCCGUGAACCUUUACUAUAGCUUGACACUGAACAUUGAGCCUUGAUGUGUAGGAUAGGUGGGAGGCUUUGAAGUGUGGACGCCAGUCUGCAUGGAGCCGACCUUGAAAUACCACCCUUUAAUGUUUGAUGUUCUAACGUGGACCCGUAAUCCGGGUUGCGGACAGUGUCUGGUGGGUAGUUUGACUGGGGCGGUCUCCUCCUAAAGAGUAACGGAGGAGCACGAAGGUUGGCUAAUCCUGGUCGGACAUCAGGAGGUUAGUGCAAUGGCAUAAGCCAGCUUGACUGCGAGCGUGACGGCGCGAGCAGGUGCGAAAGCAGGUCAUAGUGAUCCGGUGGUUCUGAAUGGAAGGGCCAUCGCUCAACGGAUAAAAGGUACUCCGGGGAUAACAGGCUGAUACCGCCCAAGAGUUCAUAUCGACGGCGGUGUUUGGCACCUCGAUGUCGGCUCAUCACAUCCUGGGGCUGAAGUAGGUCCCAAGGGUAUGGCUGUUCGCCAUUUAAAGUGGUACGCGAGCUGGGUUUAGAACGUCGUGAGACAGUUCGGUCCCUAUCUGCCGUGGGCGCUGGAGAACUGAGGGGGGCUGCUCCUAGUACGAGAGGACCGGAGUGGACGCAUCACUGGUGUUCGGGUUGUCAUGCCAAUGGCACUGCCCGGUAGCUAAAUGCGGAAGAGAUAAGUGCUGAAAGCAUCUAAGCACGAAACUUGCCCCGAGAUGAGUUCUCCCUGAGACUUAG